GACGAACGCUGGCGGCGUGCUUAACACAUGCAAGUCGAACGGUGAAGCGCCUUCCUUUUUGGUGGGUGUGGAUGAGUGGCGAACGGGUGAGUAACACGUGAGUAACCUGCCCCCUUCUUCUGGAUAACCGCAUGAAAGUGUGGCUAAUACGGGAUAUUCUGGGUCUGUCGCAUGAUGGGUCUGGGAAAGAUAUUGUUUCGGUGGGGGAUGGGCUCGCGGCCUAUCAGCUUGUUGGUGGGGUGAUGGCCUACCAAGGCGGUGACGGGUAGCCGGCCGGAGAGGGUGGACGGUCACACUGGGACUGAGACACGGCCCAGACUCCUACGGGAGGCAGCAGUGGGGAAUAUUGCACAAUGGGCGCAAGCCUGAUGCAGCGACGCCGCGUGAGGGAUGGAGGCCUUCGGGUUGUGAACCUCUUUCGCCAGUGAAGCAGGCCUGCCUCGUUUGUGGGUGGGUUGACGGUAGCUGGAUAAGAAGCGCCGGCUAACUACGUG
rnacentral:rRNA from 1 species